GAGAGCGACGUGCGGUGAAAGUCGCAUGCGUCGUUCGGGCUGGGGGCCGCCGGAAAAGGACCCGCAC
rnacentral:ncRNA from 1 species